rnacentral:rRNA from 1 species
GACGUAGGGCGCGAGCGUUGUCCGGAUUUAUUGGGCGUAAAGAGCUCGUAGGCGGCUUGUCGCGUCGAAUGUGAAAACCCACGGCUCAACUGUGGGCUUGCAUUCGAUACGGGCAGGCUAGAGUUCGGUAGGGGAGACUGGAAUUCCCGGUGUAGCGGUGAAAUGCGCAGAUAUCGGGAAGAACACCCGUGGCGAAGGCGGCUCUCUGGGACGGUACUGACGCUGAGACGCGAAAAGCGUGGGGAGCGAACAGG